GUGGGGAAUCUUAGACAAUGGGGGAAACCCUGAUCUAGCCAUGCCGCGUGAGCGAUGAAGGCCUUAGGGUUGUAAAGCUCUUUCAGCUGGGAAGAUAAUGACUGUACCAGCAGAAGAAGCCCCGGCUAACUCCGUGCCAGCAGCCGCGGUAAUACGGAGGGGGCUAGCGUUGUUCGGAAUUACUGGGCGUAAAGCGCACGUAGGCGGACUGGAAAGUCAGAGGUGAAAUCCCAGGGCUCAACCUUGGAACUGCCUUUGAAACUCCCAGUCUUGAGGUCGAGAGAGGUGAGUGGAAUUCCGAGUGUAGAGGUGAAAUUCGUAGAUAUUCGGAGGAACACCAGUGGCGAAGGCGGCUCACUGGCUCGAUACUGACGCUGAGGUGCGAAAGCGUGGGGAGCAAACAGGAUUAGAAACCCUGGUAGUCC
rnacentral:rRNA from 1 species